CCUGAAUCACGUGACCUGCGCGCGUCACAGUCAAAGGUCGGACGACGCAGAUGUGAGGUUCUGGCGCGUGCCGCUAGGGGGAGACAAAGCGCGAAUCUACUGGGUUUAAUAGCGUGGUUCUUUGCUUGGCUCACCUGGUAUCUGUCAGAAUGGUGCGGGUCGUCAGAGGACAGCGGUGAGAUUACUGGAGACUCUCCCUCACGCUUGAUGUGCACUGACAACAGGAGAGACUGAGGAAAGAAAGAGACAUUGAGAGAUGAACAGUCUGCAGUCGCACACAGGAUAAAUAUGUCACCCCCAUCAUUUCUGAAGUGACGCUCCAUGCUAUAGAACCAGUUUUAAGGGCACUAGCUUUAGGCAAGCCAGAAAGCUAUAAAGAUGCCACACUAGGUAGCAUCAUAGGAUCCACUUGGUCGACAAUUCUCUCAGAUAAAAACGAAGAAGGAAAAAAAAAGCUAGCAUUUUCAUUUGUUCUAUGGCAGGAACGUAAACUUGGCUUUCUUUACUGGGAGUCUUGAUCUCUGGCUAGCCUUUUAUGAGCCCGCUAUAAAAUAUUUGUAUUUACAAUCCUCUCCAAUUAAUCAAAGUGAGCGGAGGGGUAGCGGCUUUAGUGGGUGACAACUGUAAUCUAAUAUUAAUAUGUGAAAAAUGGCAGGCUCGCUCCACGGGGACAGUAAAUUAGACAUUAUGCAUGGCUUCUUAUGCUUUUGAAUUGCAAGGUCAGGAAACAAUUUAUUUGCCAACUCAAAGCCUUUGGAGCUUAGGGAAUAUUGGAAGAGAGGUAGACAGAGAAAGAGAGAGAAUUAAUGUGCGUAUAUGUGUGUGUAAACCAUUUAUGUGGCUGUGCAGUAUAUUGAGGAUGAGAAAUGGAACAGCUGCCUUGCAAUAUAGAAAUUUUUAAUCCUUCGGAGCUAGCAGUGCAGGAAUAGCUGCAAAUAAUGACAUCUGAACAGGACAUCAGUUGCUGUUUUGCUUUAAGACCGAUUAGAGUUGUUCAUUUCAUGCCGAUGGGAAAGGAGGAAUUUGGCGAUGGACUUGGUCUCUGACCCACUGGAUUAGUGCCAGCCUGGGCUGGCAUGGAGUCGCUAUGGCAAUGGGCGCUCAAGAGGAGUGUGAAAAGCAGAUCGGGCCAGAACGGGGUUAAUCCCCUUUAGAACUGGCAUGCCAAGCCCUAUCCUUCAGCUAGCAUGGACCCCUAGUCCCAGUUGGCCUCUUCAUUUUCCACACACUGCCGAGGAAUACUAAACGCUAGCUGUGGAAUGCUUGGUCACGUCUGCGCUCUACCCCUCGCCCACUUUCUUGCCCACUUUUUCUCAGGCGCCCGUUUUUGCAUAAGCAUGGGUCGGAACCUCAUUUCCCUUUGCCGCUGGCACAGGUCUCAUCCAGACUGGAAUAAUGAUGUGAAUUGCUUUUAUAAGCCCCAUCGAUCAAAAUCAUUGCACUGUUUAAAGGUUUCUUCCUCCAGAUAAGACCGUUCUCUAAGCUGGCAUUUGAAAAGAGAUAUAAUGUAAAAUAGAGCUCAGUGAGCUCAAAGUGUCAGUUUUACAUGUAUGGCUUGAUGUUAGUUUAAGUUGAUAUUAAAAGCCCUAUCUAAUCGUU